rnacentral:lncRNA from 1 species
AUGACUGCAGUAUACGCACUCAAAUGUGCUUUGCCACUACAUAAUAUAGGAUUCAAGAAGGGGCAUUUGAUGUCUGCAGUGCAUUUAAAAGUGGAAAUCCACCUAUUGAGAGCUGGGCUGUACACUUUGACAUGUCUCUUUGUCUCCUGGGCUCAAGCCUGGUUUCUAGUGGUGGUACCUGACCUACUUGUAAGUUCCAUGAUAAAAUUGAGAUGUCAGGCUGCCUAUUUUGUUAGAAAAUUAAAAUCUACUGUGCUUCAUAGAACUGAAGAUCAACUCCUUUUGGAACGGACUGCCAUGUUAUUCUUCAUUUUGAUUUAUUAUCUAUAGACUCAAUACCCUUAAGACUUCACUGUUAAGAUCCCAUUGCAGUUUUAGCUUGAAAUGCAUUUUGAAAUUUAUCUCUUACUUGGCUUCUGUUAAAGCACAAAAAUAUGCACUAUGAGUUAAAUGUUGCUUUUGACUGGGGUCUGGUGUAAUCAGCUUACCCACAGGAUGAAGAAAGAAGUGUUGCAAAGUUUCUGUGAUGCUGGAGAUAGUAUCGUAGUGGUGCCACAGCAGCCCAGGUUGGAAUAACUCUCUCCCCUAACUGGUUACUCCUGAGGACUUGUUUUGUAGCAGAGUCCUUCUUAUUCAAGCUGUCAAUGGAAUGAGCACACUGAAGACUUCAUGUGCUCUCUUGCAUGAACAAAUGCCAGUGCGCAAAGGGAUCCUGCAAAUUCUGCUCUGGAUGGAAUGACAGACACCUGCCACAGGGAUGUUGAUAUCCCGAGGUCAGAAUAAUAUCUGGCUUCUUCUUUGGUUUAUUUUUGGGUUAAUUGUUUGUUUAAUAGUAGAAAUCUUACCAUACCAGGAAAAAAAUCUAAAUAUUCAGGGUCUAACUUUGUAUAGCUUUACUCUUGCUUUCUUUUAAUUUAUUCAGUGUUCAAGUAAUUGUUACAAUCUUCAUAUUCUUUGGGUCAUUGCAAGGCUGUUCUUUUUUUCUUAUUUUUUGUAGUUUACUUAUUUAGUUAAUUUCUCUUUUUUAUUCAAUUGACAAUGUUGCUGAUUUAAUAAUUAAGCAAUAUUUUACUUUCUUUUUCUUUCUUUCUUUCUUUCUUUUUUUCUUUCUUUCUUUUAUUCUUUCUUUCUUUCUUUCUUUCUUUCUUUCUUUCUUUCUUUCUUUCUUUCUUUCUUUCUUUCUUUCUUUCAGUAGUUCAGGUCCUUAAUCUUCAAAGAAUUUUUUUCUCCAGUCUUCCUACCAUUCUCUUUUGAAUGUUUGACCACUAGCUGAUUAUUCAUUUAUUUUAUUUUAACCUGAGAAAGAAAAAUAUAGUUUCCUGCAGUUUUCACUCUCUUGUUGGUCUGAGUUAAAAAAGGAGUGGUCAUUAAGGUUAAAUUUAUGUCAAGGAAAAGUCAGCUACACUAUAUAUAGCAGUCAUGUUAGAAAAGCACUGUUAUGCAAUUAUGACUGCAAAAAAAGCUCUUUCAGGGAUGGAAAUAUAUAUAUAUGUCCAAAGAAAAUGUCCUUGACUAAGAUAGUUUGAAUGGUACUUGAUCUUACCUUCUAUUACCACAACUUCCUUUCAACUUAUAGAAUACAUUAUAUUAAUGUUUACAAAGCAAAAGCUGUAUCUAUUAUAGUAAAUAAUUAAGUAUGGUGUCACUAUGGACUCAUGAAAUACCAUAUAAGUCAAUGAAAGCGUGUUGAAACAGAGGGGUAUGUAGUACAUGUGAUGUACCGUCUAUUGCAAUGAUAAUUUGUUCACUGAAAUAUUUUUAAAUGUGUGGAUUUAAAAUUAUAAAGUAAGUCCUUUUUUUACAUUUUGCUUUGAAUUUUUAUGGUGAAUUUUAUUGAAACAUAUUUUUUUAAAUCAGUCAUUUUAGUAUUCAUUUUUUUCAAAUUAUAAUCUUUUACCACUUAAUAAUAGAGGAGCAGAAGCUUUUUAAGCACAUAACAACUGUGACAAUUUGAUGGAAUUCAUUUUAUGUAAUAAUUUUAUCAAAUAAUUUAUUUCUUUAAAAAAAUACCAUUUAUUAAAACAUUAUCCACAAUUUAGGUAAAAUGGUAAAGCAAAUGUCAUUUUCAAACACACGACCCACCUUUGCUGACAGCGCAGCACAAUCACAACAUAUUAUAGGAAGUGUUGGCAUGCUUUGGAACACUGGAUGACUCUAUCAAUAGACUAAUAAGCUUACAGAUGAGUGCCCAGCAUUUUUUAGCUACUCUUUAUUCACUUCUCCCUGUGCAUCUGCAUUGGUUUUAAUGAGUUUUCAUGUGUUUAACUCAAGACAGGAUAAGAUUUUCAGCACCUGAGUCAUGAAGACACACUUGUGGCAUAGAUUAAAGCAUUCAUAGACUCACAAAAAGAAAAUUUUGGUCACUUUGAAUAUCUUCAGGACUGAUGUCCCAGGGAAACUGUAAUUCUGGAGACAGGGUCUGACAUACACAAACAUAAAAGCAAACUCAGCAUGGAUACUUUUAGGAGAAAUCAGGGCAAAUAAUUAGAGACAUUCCUUCAGAUCUUCAGAUGAAGAAUGGAAUUUAAAUUCCUUAAAUUCAAGCUCUUCUGUGGAUAAGCAAAAGAU